ensembl:lncRNA
UUCUGCUAUUCAUUCUGGAGCCUCAAAAAAUAGUUCUGUGAAUAAUUCCAAUUGAGAUGAGUUUACUCUGGUUUAAAGAGAGCUCCAUUCUUGUGUCUCCUGUACCCUACUAAUGUCUCAUACUCCUGGAAACUGUCAUAUGCCUUCCCACCUUGUCAAUUCAUUGGCAGGAGUGUGCAUGCACAUGCACACACACAGACACAGGCAUACACGCUUACACACAUAAAUGUGCACAUACACAAGCAUAUGUAUCUCCUCACCAUUUAAGCUGCAAAUGUCCCAUGACGAUAAUAAACCAAGUUGCCUUGGCAAUCCAGUGUAAAGAUUGUGCCUUUCAUGGAGGCUGGAAGUUCCUGGUCAGGAGAUUGGAGUUAUCUUUGGUCAAUCUGCUGUUAGUCUGUCAGUCUGUCUAUCUCUAUCUGUCUGUCUGUCUGUCUGUCUAUCUAUCUAUCUAUCUAUCUAUCUAUCAUCUAUCACUUUUCCCUACCAAUUGAAAAUUGCAUCUAUCCAUGUAUCUGUUAUCUAUUAACUAUCAAUCUGUUUGUCAUCUAUCUGUCAUCUUUAAACACUUAUCUGUAAUUAUCUACAGUCUAUUUUAAAUAGUAGAUAACAUUCAACGUUUAACUUUGGUUUAAACUAGCACCUUAUUGGGUUUUUUUUCUUUUUCUUUUUUUUCUUUUUCGUUUUUUCAGAGCUGGGGAUCGAACGCAGGGCCUUGCACUUGCUAGGCAAGCGCUCUACCACUGAGCUAAAUCCCCAAACCUGGGUUCUUUUUUUUUUUUUAAUCAAUCAUUUUCGAGGAAAGUUUUAUGUGGUAGAAGAUCAUAGAAGCAAAGAGAUAAUAAUCAACGUUUUAGAACCAAGGGACUUAAUAUUCUCAAAUAUAAUCUGGAGGACAAGCCAUUUGUCUUAUUUUCAUUUACCUCAUUAGCAUGAAGGUGGUAGAAGAUAGAGCUGGGGUCUUUGGCAUUGCUUUCAAUUCCAGUUGCCUUUCCACCUCAGGGAUGUAAACCGUCAAUGAUGUCAUCUUGACAGUCCCCACCCCUCCAGAGGAAUUUAGAGGACAGGCAUCAUAUUAGAUCACUGCUCAGCUGAAACUUCCUUCAUUGAAGUCUUGGGAACCAUUCUUGUUAGUAGAAAUAGAUGUACUCUCUACAGGCUUUAUGGUUGGCUGGGACAAUUGUUCUCCUCCUGUAUGACCCCAGGUUUACCCCACCUUUGAGUUAUUACAACAGUAUUUUCAUGAACCUCUGUGAUUGUUUGUACAUGCUAGGCCCAGAGAGUGGCAGUAUUAGAAGGUGUGACCCUGUUAGAGUAGGUAUGGCCUUGUUGGAGUAGGUGUGUCACCAUAGGUGUGGACUUUAAGACCCUCAUCCUACCUGCCUGGAAGCCAGUCUUCUGCUAGCAGCCUUCAGAUGAAGACGUAGAACUCUCAGCUCCUCCUGCACCAGGCCUGCUUGGACGAUGCUCUUGCCUUGAUGAUAAUGGAACAACCUUUGAACCUUUCCUCUUUUCCAGAUUCUAAUUAACUUAAAGGAGUGGAGACUAAAGAAAAAAUUCAAUGUGGUCUUAAGGAAAGCUAAGACACAAACUUGUAUUUGAGCACUGCUUCUAUGUACACAGACCAUGAUUUUGUGAGUUACUUGAAUUUUUUGAGGUUCCUUUUAAUCCUCUACUAUUGAAUGAAUAGUGAACUCCAAGCAUUACACUGUACCUGAUGCUCCUGGUUGCACACUAAGGGCUGAAUAGAAGAAGAAUUCUAUUGGCAAUGGAGAGAAGCUGGAAGGGCUUGCACUAAGGAAGAAUUCACAGCUCUCACUAGCAAGAAGUCCAGGAUGAAAAACUUAGAAAUUAUCCCUGUUCUACCUAAAAAGCAGACAUGAGAAUGCUCAAAGCAUCAGCACUAUAGCAGAACUCACCAUAGGAGUUUCUGCUGCCGGAAACAUAUCUAUGUUAUCUGACCUAGACAGACUGAUCUUGUCGUGAGAGAGUGAGGAGAACUAGCAGAUGAAAUGACCAAAGUAUCCCACUCAUCCCCAGAGAACUGUGACUUCAGGAAAUGACUGGAAACCAAAGUUGGCCUUUUAAAAAGAUGAGGACUUCUACAGAAAAGUGUCCCAGAUGCUUGGACACGGUGGCACACUCUUCUAUUGCUAGUGCUCUGGAGGAGUACCACAGCAGUUCCUAGCACUUAGUAGGUACUGAAUCAAGGAACCCUGUCUCUAAACAAACAAAUAAGCAAAGGAAAAG